CUCUCUCUUCUGCAACUCUCUCUUUCUCUCUUCUGCAACCUCCUCUUUCACCACCUCUAGACCACCAAAUGGCGAGCUGCGAGCAUCAAUAGACUCGUCUCUUCCUCCUUAUCACGCAUGUGGGAGUUGUUUACGACGAUUUGGCCGGAAAUGUGGAGAUCGAAGCCAACAUUUUUACUGUAGCAAAUUAGUCAACGCCGAUUUCCGGCCACCUCCAGUCAUAAACCCAGGUCCAUUAGAAGCGCCUUAAGCCGCUCUUCAUGCUCGCCAAGUCUCAUAACCCAGAUCGAAGCAUGGAGGAAGAAAGCAUAAUUGGAAAAUUUCACUGUACAUCGGAGUGCUUAAUUGUUCGGCUACUUCAAGGUGAUUGACGGUUUGAGUUGGUGGACGAUUGUGGAUCGUAUUUUGAGCUGAAUUGAAGACGCAGCGGGAUUAUCGAGCGGGUAAUCCUACAGGACAGGAGAACCAGGACGGUGACCGUGCGGUUAGAGCAAUUGUUAGAGUUUUACAGCAAUUGUAAGUUGUGAGGUGUGUUAUGCUCAUUUAGAGCUUUACAAUAUUGCUUGUGAGAGUGAAUUGUAAUAAUGAACUCGAGGUUUCGAGAUUUGGAGUUUGUGUACCUUGUGGUGAGAUUAUAUUGAGAAAAAAAUUCAGAACGUUUAUUUGAUUAAGUGGUUUAAUUCAUGUUUCGGAUUUGAAUUUAUUAUUCAAAAUUCGGGGCGUGACAGUUUGGUAUCAGAGCGUAAGGUGCAUAUUUGGUGAUGUGUCAAUACCUUCCGAGUGAUGGCCCGUCUGCAGCGGAUCCCCAUCGUGUGCUCUUCGGUAUUGGCUAAGUCAUUGGGUAUGCGUG